AAUAGUGUGCCUGAAUCUAAAGGUAUAUUCUGAUGGAAUAUUUUAUAUAACUAAAAAUUAUCACUAUUA
rnacentral:tRNA from 1 species